CGUAGGGUGCGAGCGUUAAUCGGAAUUACUGGGCGUAAAGCGUGCGCAGGCGGUUUGUUAAGAUAGGCGUGAAAUCCCCCGGGCUCAACCUGGGAACUGCGCUUAUGACUGGCAAGCUAGAGUACGGCAGAGGGGGUGGAAUUCCACGUGUAGCAGUGAAAUGCGUAGAGAUGUGGAGGAACACCAAUGGCGAAGGCAGCCCCCUGGGUCGAUACUGACGCUCAUGCACGAAAGCGUGGGUAGCAAACAGGAUUAGAUACCCUGGUAGUCCACGCCCUAAACGAUGUCAACUAGGUGUUGGGAGGGUAAAACCUUUUAGUACCGGAGCUAACGCGUGAAGUUGACCGCCUGGGGAGUACGGCCGCAAGGUUA
rnacentral:rRNA from 1 species